AUUGAACGCUGGCGGCAUGCUUUACACAUGCAAGUCGAACGGUAACAGGCCGCAAGGUGCUGACGAGUGGCGAACGGGUGAGUAAUGCAUCGGAACGUGCCCAGUCGUGGGGGAUAACUACUCGAAAGAGUAGCUAAUACCGCAUACGAUCUAUGGAUGAAAGCGGGGGACCGUAAGGCCUCGCGCGAUUGGAGCGGCCGAUGUCAGAUUAGGUAGUUGGUGGGGUAAAGGCUCACCAAGCCAACGAUCUGUAGCUGGUCUGAGAGGAAGACCAGCCACACUGGGACUGAGACACGGCCCAGACUCCUACGGGAGGCAGCAGUGGGGAAUUUUGGACAAUGGGCGCAAGCCUGAUCCAGCAAUGCCGCGUGCAGGAAGAAGGCCUUCGGGUUGUAAACUGCUUUUGUACGGAACGAAACGGCUCUGGUUAAUACCCGGGGCUAAUGACGGUACCGUAAGAAUAAGCACCGGCUAACUACGUG
rnacentral:rRNA from 1 species